rnacentral:rRNA from 1 species
GACGAACGCUGGCGGCGUGCCUAAUACAUGCAAGUCGAGCGGACCGACGGGAGCUUGCUCCCUUAGGUCAGCGGCGGACGGGUGAGUAACACGUGGGUAACCUGCCUGUAAGACUGGGAUAACUCCGGGAAACCGGGGCUAUAUACCGGAUGCUUGAUUGAACCGCAUGGUUCAAUCAUAAAAGGUGGCUUUUAGCUACCACUUGCAGAUGGACCCGCGGCGCAUUAGCUAGUUGGUGAGGUAACGGCUCACCAAGGCGACGAUGCGUAGCCGACCUGAGAGGGUGAUCGGCCACACUGGGACUGAGACACGGCCCAGACUCCUACGGGAGGCAGCAGUAGGGAAUCUUCCGCAAUGGACGAAAGUCUGACGGAGCAACGCCGCGUGAGUGAUGAAGGUUUUCGGAUCGUAAAACUCUGUUGUUAGGGAAGAACAAGUACCGUCCGAAUAGGGCGGUACCUUGACGGUACCUAACCAGAAAGCCACGGCUAACUACGUGCCAGCAGCCGCGGUAAUACGUAGGUGGCAAGCGUUGUCCGGAAUUAUUGGGCGUAAAGCGCGCGCAGGCGGUUUCUUAAGUCUGAUGUGAAAGCCCCCGGCUCAACCGGGGAGGGUCAUUGGAAACUGGGGAACUUGAGUGCAGAAGAGGAGAGUGGAAUUCCACGUGUAGCGGUGAAAUGCGUAGAGAUGUGGAGGAACACCAGUGGCGAAGGCGACUCUCUGGUCUGUAACUGAGCGCUGAGGCGCGAAAGCGUGGGGAGCGAACAGGA